AGUUUCAUUUUAAAGAGUUGUGAUAAAAUUGUCAUCAGAAAUACUGUCCACUUCAGUAUUUACAUAGGAAAAUAUUGGAGGAUGAAGCUCUACCUACUGCCUCAAGUUAAUUUAAAUUCUGAAUUGCAACAACAGCAACAAGCAAGAAGGGCACCAUUAAAUGAAUAUUAUACACAUAAGUAUUAUUAUACACAGAAAGAGUAAUGUUAUACACAUAAAUAUUAACAUUUUGUAGAGCAACAACACAAUAAAAAACCAAAAUAUGAACACCAGCAACUAAAACAGGAACCAUUAAAUGAAUAUUAUACACAGCAAUAACAGCAUCAAAUAAUGGAAAUAAUGGACCCUACUGCUCAAAUCAAAAACAAAAUUUCAGCAUUACCACUUUAUUGGUUAUAUCAAUAAAAGAAAUUAUUGAGUUUAUGAGUCUAAAUCCUACAAGCAAGCAGAUCUAUCACAUAAUUUUAAAUGAAGAUUUAUCUAUUAUAGUAAUUUAUUCUAAUAACGAAAAAAAAACUUUGGAU